GCCUACAGAGUCCCUAACUAAGCCAGAAGCGUUGUGGAAUGCUGCUGAUCGGGUCUGGGUGUCCCCGACUCCCACCUCACAUUGCCCGAGACGACAUCUUUGACACGCCUAGAGCUCCAGUUUGGAUCGUCUAAGCUCAAAUUGGUUCAGGUGAAAUUUCUCCAGACCAAAUUCCCUGGCACCCAGUGAUUAUACCUCUGAAGCGGCCAAGCCCACAGCACACAGGAAGCAACAGUGACGUGCCCUGGAGAAGACACAGGUGCUACUGAACGGAGACGGUCAUGUUCAUGGCACAGGACGAGGGAAGAGUGGGGCCGCUGAAACAUAAGAAACCGGUGAGACUGAAGUCAUCGAUACAAGUCAUUCCCAGCUUGGGGGCAAGGAUGGGGCUUCUGUGCAAGGCUUAGGGCCUCAGUCGGGAUUGCUCUGGGAUCCAAGGAGCUGGUGGUGAGUGGUCCUGAGUCUCUGCGGGGUCAUUAACCUCUUCAGCUGUGCCACGAGGCAGGCAGGGCCUGGGACUGCAGGCCAUAACAGAGCUGACACCCACGGCAGGCUGUGCACACUCUCCGUUCUUUUUAUUUUAAAAAAAUUGUUUUAAUGUUUAUUUAUUUUUGAAAGAGAGACAGAGUACGA